rnacentral:rRNA from 1 species
GAGCUCAGAUUGAACGCUGGCGGCAGGCUUAACACAUGCAAGUCGAGCGGUAACAGGGGGAGCUUGCUCCCCGCUGACGAGCGGCGGACGGGUGAGUAAUGCAUAGGAAACUGCCCAGUAGUGGGGGAUAGCCCGGGGAAACCCGGAUUAAUACCGCAUACGCCCUUUGGGGGAAAGCAGGGGAUCUUCGGACCUUGCGCUAUUGGAUGUGCCUAUGUCGGAUUAGCUAGUUGGUGGGGUAAGAGCCUACCAAGGCGACGAUCCGUAGCUGGUCUGAGAGGAUGAUCAGCCACAUCGGGACUGAGACACGGCCCGAACUCCUACGGGAGGCAGCAGUGGGGAAUAUUGGACAAUGGGGGCAACCCUGAUCCAGCCAUGCCGCGUGUGUGAAGAAGGCUUUCGGGUUGUAAAGCACUUUCAGUGAGGAGGAAAACCUUACGACUAAUACUCGUGAGGCUUGACGUUACUCACAGAAGAAGCACCG